rnacentral:tRNA from 1 species
AAGGGUAGAGCUCAGUUGUAGAGUGCAUGACUAGCAUGCAUGAGUUCCUGGGUUCAAAUUCCCCAGUUCCUCUA